CUUUCGGAGCUGUGCGGCAUUCUGAGCAGGAAUGGCAGUGUGGACCUCUGUGAUGGGACAUCUUGUGGGAUCUCACAGCCAGUUCUGUGGCAAAGGAGGAUGAAGGCUUACGAGGACUCGUCAGGAAGCUGGAUAACAGAGCGAGCGCAAUGUAAGCAAUUUUGUGUGUGCAUGUGGUCCCAUUACAAGGAAUACCCAAUGGCAAAUGAGCACUAAAGAUCCCUCAACCCACACAUUGAAUGUAUUGUUCCCUGAGAGCAAUUGUAGAUAGAGGAGUGGGUGGGAAGUCUGAAGUCAGGGCAUUGUUUCUGCGUAUCUGAGGAGGCUGGUUUUUGAUAUGUGGGAGCUAGUGGUCGUUAACGCAUUUACCCCCUAUUUGGUGGACUCUGGUUCCCCCAUCUUAAGUGCUGAGUCAGGGGCCUAACCGGGCAGCUUUAACUAUUUGUUUGUUGUAGGUGCUAGAAUAGAAGACCAGAAAAUGAAAUGGUGGAGUUUGAGGCUGGAUAGACAGUUUGAAAGGUACAAAUAAUGGUUUGAAUAAAGAAAGGUAUUAAUGGGUCACCUCAAGUGAAGGCACUGCAAACACAAUGAUUGGUCAUUCUGAAUUUCCGGUCCUUCAUUCUGAAUUUCAAAGGCUCCUGUGACAAGUGGACAUGCAGUGACUGCACCUUUGUUUCUGAGGUGCCUGGAUGGAGGCUCAAAUAGAAGAUGGUGUCAGAUAUAUUGUGUUAAAAUUUUACCAUUAAAGUGUAUUAUAAC
ensembl:processed_transcript Gas5 growth arrest specific 5